UGCAAGUCGAGCGAUGAAAUUCCCUUCGGGGAAUGGAUUAGCGGCGGACGGGUGAGUAACACGUGGGUAACCUGCCCUAAAGAGGGGGAUAGCCUUCCGAAAGGAAGAUUAAUACCGCAUAACAUUAAGAUAUCGCAUGAUAUUUUAAUCAAAGGAGCAAUCCGCUUUAGGAUGGACCCGCGGCGCAUUAGUUAGUUGGUGAGGUAACGGCUCACCAAGGCAACGAUGCGUAGCCGACCUGAGAGGGUGAUCGGCCACAUUGGGACUGAGACACGGCCCAGACUCCUACGGGAGGCAGCAGUGGGGAAUAUUGCGCAAUGGGGGAAACCCUGACGCAGCAACGCCGCGUGAGUGAUGAAGGUCUUCGGAUUGUAAAGCUCUGUCUUUUGGGACGAUAAUGACGGUACCAAAGGAGGAAGCCACGGCUAACUACGUGCCAGCAGCCGCGGUAAUACGUAGGUGGCAAGCGUUGUCCGGAUUUACUGGGCGUAAAGAGUGCGUAGGCGGACAUUUAAGUCAGAUGUGAAAUACCCGGGCUCAACUUGGGUGCUGCAUCUGAUACUGGAUGUCUAGAGUGCAGGAGAGGAAAGUGGAAUUCCUAGUGUAGCGGUGAAAUGCGUAGAGAUUAGGAAGAACACCAGUGGCGAAGGCGACUUUCUGGACUGUAACUGACGCUGAGGCACGAAAGCGUGG
rnacentral:rRNA from 1 species